AGGACGAACGCUGGCGGCGUGCUUAACACAUGCAAGUCGAACGGUGAAGGAGAGCUUGCUCUCCGGAUCAGUGGCGAACGGGUGAGUAACACGUGAGUAACCUGCCCUUGACUCUGGGAUAAGCGUUGGAAACGACGUCUAAUACCGGAUACGAGCUUCAGCCGCAUGGCUAGGAGCUGGAAAGAAUUUCGGUCAAGGAUGGACUCGCGGCCUAUCAGCUAGUUGGUGAGGUAAUGGCUCACCAAGGCGACGACGGGUAGCCGGCCUGAGAGGGUGACCGGCCACGACUGGGACUGAGACACGGCCCAGACUCCUACGGGAGGCAGCAGUGGGAAUAUUGCACAAUGGGCGCAAGCCUGAUGCAGCAACGCCGCGGUGGGGACGAAGGCCGUCGGUUGUAAACCUCGUUUAGUAGGAAGAAGCGAAGUGACGGUACUGACGAAGAAAACGCGAACCGGACUAACGUACGUACGACC
rnacentral:rRNA from 1 species